GAAGCUUGCUUCUCUGAUGUUAGCGGCGGACGGGUGAGUAACACGUGGAUAACCUACCUAUAAGACUGGGAUAACUUCGGGAAACCGGAGCUAAUACCGGAUAAUAUUUUGAACCGCAUGAUUCAAAAGUGAAAGACGGUCUUGCUGUCACUUAUAGAUGGAUCCGCGCUGCAUUAGCUAGUUGGUAAGGUAACGGCUUACCAAGGCAACGAUGCAUAGCCGACCUGAGAGGGUGAUCGGCCACACUGGAACUGAGACACGGUCCAGACUCCUACGGGAGGCAGCAGUAGGGAAUCUUCCGCAAUGGGCGAAAGCCUGACGGAGCAACGCCGCGUGAGUGAUGAAGGUCUUCGGAUCGUAAAACUCUGUUAUUAGGGAAGAACAUAUGUGUAAGUAACUGUGCACAUCUUGACGGUACCUAAUCAGAAAGCCACGGCUAACUACGUGCCAGCAGCCGCGGUAAUACGUAGGUGGCAAGCGUUAUCCGGAAUUAUUGGGCGUAAAGCGCGCGUAGGCGGUUUUUUAAGUCUGAUGUGAAAGCCCACGGCUCAACCGUGGAGGGUCAUUGGAAACUGGAAAACUUGAGUGCAGAAGAGGAAAGUGGAAUUCCAUGUGUAGCGGUGAAAUGCGCGGAGAUAUGGAGGAACACCAGUGGCGAAGGCGACUUUCUGGUCUGUAACUGACGCUGAUGUGCGAAAGCGUGGGGAUCAAACAGGAUUAGAUACCCUGGUAGUCCACGCCGUAAACGAUGAGUGCUAAGUGUUAGGGGGUUUCCGCCCCUUAGUGCUGCAGCUAACGCAUUAAGCACUCCGCCUGGAGAGUACGG
rnacentral:rRNA from 1 species